UACGUAGGGCGCAAGCGUUGUCCGGAAUUAUUGGGCGUAAAGAGCUCGUAGGCGGCUUGUCACGUCGAUUGUGAAAGCCCGAGGCUUAACCUCGGGUCUGCAGUCGAUACGGGCAGGCUAGAGUUCGGUAGGGGAGUCUGGAAUUCCUGGUGUGGCGGUGAAAUGCGCAGAUAUCAGGAGGAACACCGGUGGCGAAGGCGGGACUCUGGGCCGAUACUGACGCUGAGGAGCGAAAGCGUGGGGAGCGAACAGG
rnacentral:rRNA from 1 species